GGACGAACGCUGGCGGCGUGCUUACCACAUGCAAGUCGAACGGAAAGGCCCUGCUUUUGUGGGGUGCUCGAGUGGCGAACGGGUGAGUAACACGUGAGUAACCUGCCCUUGACUUUGGGAUAACUUCAGGAAACUGGGGCUAAUACCGGAUAGGAGCUCCUGCUGCAUGGUGGGGGUUGGAAAGUUUCGGCGGUUGGGGAUGGACUCGCGGCUUAUCAGCUUGUUGGUGGGGUAGUGGCUUACCAAGGCUUUGACGGGUAGCCGGCCUGAGAGGGUGACCGGCCACAUUGGGACUGAGAUACGGCCCAGACUCCUACGGGAGGCAGCAGUGGGGAAUAUUGCACAAUGGGCGGAAGCCUGAUGCAGCAACUCCGCGUGCGGGAUGACGGCCUUCGGGUUGUAAACCGCUUUCGCCUGUGACGAAGCGUGAGUGACGGUAAUGGGUAAAGAAGCACCGGCUAACUACGUG
rnacentral:rRNA from 1 species